UACAUAACGGCCUAAGAGAAAGAGAAAGAGAGAGAGAUGAGAGAGUCUCAGUCGAUUCUAACCAAGAGAAAUGUUUCUUCUCUUUCUUUUUUAUCUUUCUUAUUCUCACUCCGAUUUCUCUCUCUCCCUCUUUCACAUACACAGAGUAUUUUUCCUUCCAAUCAUCAACCAGACUUGAGAUGGUAACUGUAAGAGUUUGCUUGUUUCUCCUCAGUAUUUCGCGUUUCAUCAACAAUUUUCACGAUCACUUUUACUUUGAACUUUCAACACCUUCGAUUUUUAAAUUGUCUCCGAAAUUCUAUUGUUUUAUUUAAGUCGAUGAAUAAUUUACGCCGACACAACGAUCUUCAUAGUUGAAUAUCAGCGACCGUUGCCAAGGCGACCACCAGCUACAAACCGGCUCUACAAAACGUAAAUCGAAAACUUUGUGCUAAUUUCGUAUUUCGACUCUUUUGUUUUGGACUUUUCGUUUUCACAAUAAUCAUAAAGUUGAAUUCAACGAUCAUUUGUGACGAGCCAAUUGAAAACAAUGAGCAUAAGCUGAUUGAUAUCAUUUACCUUUCAAGACGGAAACGGAACAGCAAUCGUAAUGUUAUUGGAUCAGACGAAUGCCUGAUUAAGGGCCAAGCAAAUUCCAAACACUGAUUCAGGAAACAGAGAAUUUUUGGAAACAAUAAGCAAAUAACAAUUUCGGAUGACAGUCUCAGUGCUGUCACUUAAUUUCAACUCUUCAACCAUGAUGAUCGAUGAACCAGUUGCUUUACUUUUAAAUACAUGAUAAUUAUUGUGAUUAAUGUUGAUCAAUCUCUCUAUUUUUCUAAGAUUAAACCAAAUAGACAUUCA